UUCCUACGGGAGGCAGCAGUGGGGAAUUUUGGGCAAUGGGGGAAAGCCUGAUCCAGCCAUUCCGCGUGAGUGAAGAAGGCCUUCGGGUGGUAAAGCUCUUUAGCAAGGGAAGAAAACUUAUUCUCUAACAUAGGAUGAGGAUGACGGUACC
rnacentral:rRNA from 1 species